ACGCUGGCGGCAUGCUUUACACAUGCAAGUCGGACGGCAGCACAGAGAAGCUUGCUUCUUGGGUGGCGAGUGGCGAACGGGUGAGUAACAUAUCGGAACGUACCGAGUAAUGGGGGAUAACUAAUCGAAAGAUUAGCUAAUACCGCAUAUUCUCUGAGGAGGAAAGCAGGGGACCUUCGGGCCUUGCGUUAUUCGAGCGGCCGAUAUCUGAUUAGCUAGUUGGUGGGGUAAAGGCCUACCAAGGCGACGAUCAGUAGCGGGUCUGAGAGGAUGAUCCGCCACACUGGGACUGAGACACGGCCCAGACUCCUACGGGAGGCAGCAGUGGGGAAUUUUGGACAAUGGGCGCAAGCCUGAUCCAGCCAUGCCGCGUGUCUGAAGAAGGCCUUCAGGUUGUAAAGGACUUUUGUCAGGGAAGAAAAGGCUGUUGCUAAUACCGACAGUUGAUGACGGUACCUGAAGAAUAAGCACCGGCUAACUACGUGCCAGCAGCCGCGGUAAUACGUAGGGUGCGAGCGUUAAUCGGAAUUACUGGGCGUAAAGCGAGCGCAGACGGUUACUUAAGCAGGAUGUGAAAUCCCCGGGCUCAACCUGGGAACUGCGUUCUGAACUGGGUGACUAGAGUGUGUCAGAGGGAGGUAGAAUUCCACGUGUAGCAGUGAAAUGCGUAGAGAUGUGGAGGAAUACCGAUGGCGAAGGCAGCCUCCUGGGAUAACACUGACGUUCAUGCUCCAAAGCGUGGGUAGCAAACAGGAUUAGAUACCCUGGUAGUCCACGCCCUAAACGAUGUCAAUUAGCUGUUGGGCAACUUGAUUGCUUAGUAGCGUAGCUAACGCGUGAAAUUGACCGCCUGGGGAGUACGGUCGCAAGAUUAAAACUCAAAGGAAUUGACGGGGACCCGCACAAGCGG
rnacentral:rRNA from 1 species